CAACAAGGGGUUUUCCUUUGAAUUUGGUGAGGCUCACCACCUUUCCAUCUUGAUCUUUCAAUGUGAAAGCUGGUGGUUUUGAACCUUUAUUCACCUAUCAAGGAACAAACACAAAAGAACAAACAUGGAUACUUUCCUGAAUGUAUAUAGAUUAAAAGAUGCAGAGAAAGUUGACUAAGAAGAAAUGUACCUUGGCAAAAAUGGAAGGAGUGAGUGAAAAAGAUGCAGGGGUAGAUGGGAUAGAGAAAGUGGAAGAAUGAGACAAUUUGAGGCCAAAAAAAUGAGAAUUGGAAGGUGUGGAAAGGAGUUGAGAAGAAGGGUAUCUGGGAGUUUGAGUGUUAAGUAUUAGUGAGGUAGGAAGAGAGUGGUUUGAGAAAGUGAAGGAAGCCAUGAGUGUGGGUGAGAAUGAAGGUUGGAAGAAGAUAGUGCAUGAACUUGAUGGGGUGAUGGAUGAUAGAUAAAGAAUGUGGUUUGGCUGGUUGGGAUUCCCCUUUGGCGUGGACCAUUCCUCACCCCAUCUUUUUUUGUAAUAGCAAGGGUGUCCUAUUAUCCUAUGGGUAAUUAGUCCCUUUUGGAAUGUGUAGCUACUUCUUCCAAUAAGUGUCGCUCUCGAGAAUCAAGUCCUUAAUCUUUUAAUCAUCCUAAGGAUUUAGCGGGAUCUUACAAGACCAACGCCUUGUUGGUUUCCUCACCCCUUCUUUUUUUAUUCAACUUUUCUUUUGAGUUCAAUUUACAGCAAAAUUUAAUUUCAGAAUAAGUUGCAUGCAUAAAUACAAUAUUCUAAAUUCUGAAUAGAUUUUCAAGUGUAGUUUCAUUGGAUUGUAUUUUCUUGCUCACAUUAGUCACAUAUGAAGGAGAAUUAUUCAGUAAUUAUAACGUAUAAGUACUAUUUUGGUAGUUAGAGUUCAGUUUCAUAAAAGUUUUAGCUUAUGAAAAAAUAUCAAGUGAUUAUGCUUGGUCAGGAUAUUGAGAUGAGUUUGAAGAUUCUCUAUUCAUUGUGGAAAUUAGCAUCUGAUUUUCACUUCUUGGUUUUCUACCAAUGCUCAACAUGUUUUAUAUUAUCCAUGUAUAUUAUGAUUAUUACCAAAAGAAUCACAUUAGAAGGUAAAGCUUUAUGACAGUAUACUCGAGUAAUUAUUUACCAAAUAUACCAGGCUCUCCUUUAAUGUUUAACAGGGUGGAUGGAGUUGUAACCAUUCCUCAUAAUAAAGCUUGCCUCUUCUCCAAAGAACUCAAACUGCUAUGAGAAUGAAAGGAAGCAUUUGGCCCUUAUAGAAGUGAAAGCCAUGAGGGAAGAUUGAAGACCUUAGAGCAUUGUAAUAAUCAUUGCAUUGAUAAUAGUAAUAUGAUAAGAAAAUAAAUGUCCCAAGAAAGAGUUAUAUUUUUGCAGUCAGUUUGGUGUUCCCUAAAAUUAAGAGUGGAAAAUUUAGGGUCAAGUUUUAAAUUGUGGGAUAAAUGUUGUUAUGCUAGGCAUAGUCAUCAUUGAAAGAGUUAGUUAGUUAUAAUAAUAAUGACAACUACUUCAACAUUAUGGUAAUGUUUCUCAGAUAUAUCAAAGAGAUUGCAAAACCUUGGUGUUUCAAGUAGCACAUUCAAACCAUAAAAUAAUAUAGACACAGAAAAGAACAAGAAAUAAUAAAACUUGGAUGAUCACUUGCUCAAUUGAUGCUGAGCUUACAAUACAAAAAAUAUACUAAUAAUCUAACUUUAUGUGUGAUAAUUGAAACAAGAUUUCUAUCAGGAGAGAUCAUAACAAUUUGCUCUUUAUAGAAAAUGGGUCCAUAAUCAGCUACACUAUCAAAAUUACAGUGAUCACAAUUCAUAGUUACAUACUUGUCUCACUCAAGCCGAUGAGGAUGGAAUAGAACACAAGAAUAAAAGGCCUCAAAGGCUUUGAAGUAACUUCAACGUCUCGUCGAUAUGCUUUUCUGGUUGGAACUGAUUGUUGUAUACAAGCUGAACCACCCCAUUUUUGUCAAGAACAUAAGUCUCUCUUCCGGGCAAUGCUCCAAAUAAAUCACUCGGCACUCCCCAUUCUUUCCUCACCUUGUUUCCCUCAUCACUCAACAAUGUAAAUGGAAGUCUGUGCUUUUUGGCAAAUGCCUACAUUCCAUGCAACACUUUCAGUAUAAAGAUAAUAUGUUAGGGACCCCAUCACUACUACUAUAUUUUCUCAUACUAGUAUAUUUUAUAUAGUAGUAGUCAUGUACCCCUAUCCUGGUAUUUCAUUUCAAUCAAAUUGUAGUGAAACAUUUGAUUUUUACCUUGUGAGAUGAAGAAUCAUCACCACUGACACCUAUAACCUCUGCUCCUGCUUUCUUGAACUUCUCAUACGAGUCCCGGAAAGCGCAAGCCUGCGUUGUAACAAAAUAAUUUAAAAGUUCAAAUUUUGACACUGCUAGCCUCUAACUAUAUUAAGAAUCAAUGAUCAUGAGUUAUUGUAUCGCUUUUAAUUAUAAUUGGAGAUAUAUCAUAUGAUUCUUUGCAACAUUUAUAAACAAUGUUGGGACAACAUAUGAUUUAUGUGAGUAUUGAUAAGUAUGAUUUAAAGUAAAAAUGUUGUGUGUCACAAAUCUUGUCUAAAAAUGUUGUACAAAUAACAGAACUUGUGAUCCUUCAUGUUCCAUAAACAAAACCCUCUUUCAUUUUCAUAAGAACAACAACACCUUUGAAUGUAAGAUUGAAUGUGUUUUUACCUGUUUGGUACAGCUAGGAGAAUCAUCAGCAGGGUAGAAAUAAACAACAACAGGUUUUCCUUUGAAGUUGGUAAGGCUGACAGUUUUUCCAUCUUGAUCUUUCAAUGUGAAUGGUGGUGGCUUUGAACCUUUACUCACCUGUCAUGGAACAAACACAAACACAAACAAAAACAAACAAACAUGGAUGCCUUCUUAAAUGUAUAAAGAUGAAAAGAUGCAGACAUAGUUGAUUAAGAAAAAAUGUACCUUAGCAAAAAUGGAAGGUUUUUGUGAAAAAGAAACAGGAGUAGAUGGGAUAGAGAAAGUGGAAGAAUUAGAUAAUUUGAGACCAAAAAAAUGAGAAUUGGAAGGUGUGGAUAGGAUUUGAGAAGAAGGGUAGUUGAGAGUUUGAGUGUUAAGCAUUCGGGAAGUGGGAAGAGAGUGGUUUGAGAAAGUGAAGGAAGCCAUGAGUGAG
rnacentral:lncRNA from 1 species